GUGAACGCUGGCGGUAGGCCUAACACCUGCAAGUCGAACGGCAGCACCGUAAGAGCUUGCUCUUACGGGUGGUGAGUGGCGGACGGGUGAGGAAUACAUCGGAAUCUACUUUUUCGUGGGGGAUAACGUAGGGAAACUUACGCUAAUACCGCAUACGACCUACGGGUGAAAGCAGGGGAUCUUCGGACCUUGCGCGAUUGAAUGAGCCGAUGUCGGAUUAGCUAGUUGGCGGGGUAAAGGCCCACCAAGGCGACGAUCCGUAGCUGGUCUGAGAGGAUGAUCAGCCACACUGGAACUGAGACACGGUCCAGACUCCUACGGGAGGCAGCAGUGGGGAAUAUUGGACAAUGGGCGCAAGCCUGAUCCAGCCAUACCGCGUGGGUGAAGAAGGCCUUCGGGUUGUAAAGCCCUUUUGUUGGGAAAGAAAAGCAGCAGGUUAAUACCCCGCUGUUCUGACGGUACCCAAAGAAUAAGCACCGGCUAACUUCGUG
rnacentral:rRNA from 1 species